GACGAACGCUGGCGGCGUGCCUAAUACAUGCAAGUCGAGCGAAGUUUUUCUGGUGCUUGCACUAGAAAAACUUAGCGGCGAACGGGUGAGUAACACGUAAAGAACCUGCCUCAUAGACUGGGACAACUAUUGGAAACGAUAGCUAAUACCGGAUAACAGCAUUACCUGCAUGGUUGAUGUUUAAAAGUUGGUUUUGCUAACACUAUGAGAUGGCUUUGCGGUGCAUUAGCUAGUUGGUGGGGUAAAGGCCUACCAAGGCGACGAUGCAUAGCCGACCUGAGAGGGUGAUCGGCCGCACUGGGACUGAGACACGGCCCAGACUCAUACGGGAGGCAGCAGUAGGGAAUCUUCCGCAAUGGGCGAAAGCCUGACGGAGCAACGCCGCGUGAGUGAAGAAGGAUUUCGGUUCGUAAAGCUCUGUUGUUAGGGAAGAAUGAUUGUGUAGUAACUAUACACAGUAGAGACGGUACCUAACCAGAAAGCCACGGCUAACUACGUG
rnacentral:rRNA from 1 species